rfam:Ailuropoda melanoleuca scaffold3611_2, whole genome shotgun sequence.
GGUUCCAUAGUGUAGCGGUUAGCACGUCUGCUUUACGCGCAGAAGGUCCUGGGUUCGAGCCCCAGUGGAACCA